UCCCAGGUUCCUUCUACACUGCCAUAUAAUCCAGAUUAUCUGUUUUGAUUUUAUAUGGCAAUGUAGAGGAAGGUUUCUUUU
ensembl:miRNA aca-mir-9576 aca-mir-9576